CCUACGGUGGCAGCAGUGGGGAAUAUUGGACAAUGGGGGGAACCCUGAUCCAGCCAUGCCGCGUGUGUGAAGAAGGCCCUCGGGUUGUAAAGCACUUUCAGUGAGGAAGAACGCCUGGUGGUUAAUACCCAUCAGGAAAGACAUCACUCACAGAAGAAGCACCGGCUAACUCCGUGCCAGCAGCCGCGGUAAUACGGAGGGUGCGAGCGUUAAUCGGAAUUACUGGGCGUAAAGCGCGCGUAGGUGGCUUGAUAAGCCGGUUGUGAAAGCCCCGGGCUCAACCUGGGAACGGCAUCCGGAACUGUCAAGCUAGAGUGCAGGAGAGGAAGGUAGAAUUCCCGGUGUAGCGGUGAAAUGCGUAGAGAUCGGGAGGAAUACCAGUGGCGAAGGCGGCCUUCUGGACUGACACUGACACUGAGGUGCGAAAGCGUGGGUAGCAAACAGGAUUAGAUACCCUUGUAGUC
rnacentral:rRNA from 1 species